UCAGUUCGGAUUGUAGUCUGNAACUCGACUACAUGAAGCUGGAAUCGCUAGUAAUCGCGAAUCAGAAUGUCGCGGUGAAUACGUUCCCGGGUCUUGUACACACCGCCCGUCACACCAUGGGAGUUGGUAACGCCCGAAGUCAGUGACCCAACCUUAGGGAGGGAGCUGCCGAAGGCGGGACUGAUAACUGGGGUGAAGUCGUAACAAGGUACC
rnacentral:rRNA from 1 species